rnacentral:rRNA from 1 species
GACGAACGCUGGCGGCGUGCCUAAUACAUGCAAGUUGAGCGCUGAAGGUUGGUACUUGUACCGACUGGAUGAGCAGCGAACGGGUGAGUAACGCGUGGGGAAUCUGCCUUUGAGCGGGGGACAACAUUUGGAAACGAAUGCUAAUACCGCAUAAAAACUUUAAACACAAGUUUUAAGUUUGAAAGAUGCAAUUGCAUCACUCAAAGAUGAUCCCGCGUUGUAUUAGCUAGUUGGUGAGGUAAAGGCUCACCAAGGCGAUGAUACAUAGCCGAGCUGAGAGGGGGGUGGGCCAGAGUGGGACGGGGACACGGGCCGAACGCCUACGGGAGGCAGCAGUAGGGAAUCUUCGGCAAUGGACGAAAGUCUGACCGAGCAACGCCGCGUGAGUGAAGAAGGUUUUCGGAUCGUAAAACUCUGUUGGUAGAGAAGAACGUUGGUGAGAGUGGAAAGCUCAUCAAGUGACGGUAACUACACAGAAAGGGACGGCUAACUACGUG